AUUGAACGCUGGCGGCAGGCCUAACACAUGCAAGUCGAACGCAGUGGGGACGGGUGAGUAACACGUGGGUAACCUCCCAUCAGAGGGGAUAACACUUGGAAACAGGUGCUAAACCGAUACUGAUGGAUGGACCCGCGGGGCAUUAGCGAGUUGGUGGGGUAACGGCUCACCAAGGCCACGAUGCAUAGCCGACCUGAGAGGGGGAUCGGCCACACUGGGACGGAGACCCGGCCCAGACUCCUACGGGCGGCAGCAGUAGGGAAUAUUGGACAAUGGGCGAAAGCCUGAUGCAGCCAUGCCGCGUGUGUGAAGAAGGUCUUCGGAUUGUAAAGCACUUUAAGUUGGGAGGCGUUACCAACAGAAUAAGCACCGGCUAACUUCGUGCCAGCCGCCGCGGUAAUUC
rnacentral:rRNA from 1 species